rnacentral:rRNA from 1 species
CAGCCGCCACGGUAAUACGAAGGGGGCUAGCGUUGUUCGGAUUUACUGGGCGUAAAGCGCACGUAGGCGGACACUUAAGUCAGGGGUGAAAUCCCAGAGCUCAACUCUGGAACUGCCUUUGAUACUGGGUGUCUGGAGUAUGGAAGAGGUAAGUGGAAUUCCGAGUGUAGAGGUGAAAUUCGUAGAUAUUCGGAGGAACACCAGUGGCGAAGGCGGCUUACUGGUCCAUUACUGACGCUGAGAUGCGAAAGCGUGGGGAGCAAACAGGAUUAGAUACCCGUGUAGUCCCUGUCUCUUAUAC